GGUUGUAAAGCACUUUCAGUGGGGAGGAAAGGUCGAAGGUUAAUACCCUUUGGCUGUGACGUUACCCACAGAAGAAGCACCGGCUAACUCCGUGCCAGCAGCCGCGGUAAUACGGAGGGUGCGAGCGUUAAUCGGAAUUACUGGGCGUAAAGCGUGCGCAGGCGGCCAUUUAAGUUGGAUGUGAAAGCCCCGGGCUCAACCUGGGAACUGCAUCCAAAACUGGGUGGCUUGAGUGCGAGAGAGGAGUGUGGAAUUUCCUGUGUAGCGGUGAAAUGCGUAGAUAUAGGAAGGAACACCAGUGGCGAAGGCGACACUCUGGCUUGACACUGACGCUGAGGUACGAAAGCGUGGGGAGCAAACAGGAUUAGAUACCCUGGUAGUCCACGCCGUAAACGAUGUCUACUAGUUGUCGGUGGUCUUGUACUGCUGGUAACGCAGCUAACGCGAUAAGUAGACCGCCUGGGGA
rnacentral:rRNA from 1 species